UGGGGAAUUUUGGACAAUGGGGGAAACCCUGAUCCAGCCAUCCCGCGUGUGCGAUGAAGGCCUUCGGGUUGUAAAGCACUUUUGGCAGGAAAGAAACGUCGCGGGUUAAUACCCCGCGAAACUGACGGUACCUGCAGAAUAAGCACCGGCUAACUACGUGCCAGCAGCCGCGGUAAUACGUAGGGUGCAAGCGUUAAUCGGAAUUACUGGGCGUAAAGCGUGCGCAGGCGGUUCGGAAAGAAAGAUGUGAAAUCCCAGAGCUUAACUUUGGAACUGCAUUUUUAACUACCGGGCUAGAGUGUGUCAGAGGGAGGUGGAAUUCCGCGUGUAGCAGUGAAAUGCGUAGAUAUGCGGAGGAACACCGAUGGCGAAGGCAGCCUCCUGGGGAUAACACUGACGCUCAUGCACGAAAGCGUGGGGGAGCAAAACAGGAUUAGAUACCCUGGUAGUCCACGCCCCUAAAACGAUGUCAACUAGCUGUUGGGGGCCUUUCGGGCCUUGGUAGCGCAGCUAACGCGUGAAGUUGACCGCCU
rnacentral:rRNA from 1 species